rnacentral:rRNA from 1 species
CAGUCGCCACGGUAACACGGAGGGUGCAAGCGUUAAUCGGAAUUACUGGGCGUAAAGCGCACGCAGGCGGUUUGUUAAGUCAGAUGUGAAAUCCCCGAGCUUAACUUGGGAACUGCAUUUGAAACUGGCAAGCUAGAGUCUUGUAGAGGGGGGUAGAAUUCCAGGUGUAGCGGUGAAAUGCGUAGAGAUCUGGAGGAAUACCGGUGGCGAAGGCGGCCCCCUGGACAAAGACUGACGCUCAGGUGCGAAAGCGUGGGGAGCAAACAGGAUUAGAUACCCGCGUAGUCCCUGUCUCUUAUAC